UUCCAGUCGGGGGAUCUGGAAAAAGGUUGUUUGACACAUAGAUAACGGAAUCGGUAUCGUAGUAUAAAACACGUGUAUCCAACAUCUCUAGAUAUUCGUACAACUUCAAACGGGCCUGUGCUGUAACAAAAGCUGCAAUUACCACAUUCACAGUGGGCAGAGAUUCCACAGCCUCGUCGGCGUACUCCCAGUUGAUUACAACAGUUUGUUCAUUAACAGGAGUUAUACUGUUGACAUUCUUCGACGGAUGCGCAAGGAGAUCAAAGCAUUCCUGAGGAUCGUUGACGAUGGUUGUUUGGGGUUGGUUUUAGUGUUGUCCAAACUUUCCCCAGAACGAAUUCACCAUUAGUUUGGCGAGGGAUUGAAGACCAGGGUUAUUUUCGAUGAGUUCCGGUGUUAGCUUCGGAGGCUUCCUGUUUAAUUUUGAUGAAUUUAUUCAUCAAUAAACGCAAAUAGAUAAAUAAAUAAAAAAUAAAUAAAAUCAACAACAAACCAUUUGUAUUCUGAAGAAUUAGUCAGUCUACAAUUUUUAUUUAAUUCUUAAAAUCAUUGAUAAUAUGGCACCCAGGACAAACUUGAUUGAGGAAAAUUAGGACGACGAUUGCGGCGGCCCUUCUUUUUUUGACACCGAUUUUUACACAAAGACGGAGAAUCUGCCGAUCAUCCGGUAUCCACCUCAUGGUCUCACUCGUGGGGAAAGAAAGGCAUUUAGACGUCGCGAGGGUGAACGUCAUCAAAGAUUACGGAGGGAGGCGGAAGCAGAUGCGGCAGCGGAGGACGCGGAGGUUGUGGCAGCAUAGGCGGUGGCUAAGGCCGCUGUAGCCAAAGCCGAGGCGGCAGAGCGCCGCGCCGUUGAGGCUGCGGCGACACUUGCGGGUCUCCAAAUAGAGGCUAAACGACUCCGCAUCAUUGCGAAUUCGUCAAGUGCAACAGCGAGGGGAAUGGCCGUCUCCCUCGAUGCAAAAAAGACGAAAUAAAUAAUAUUUUACUUAUU